rnacentral:rRNA from 1 species
GCAGAGAAGCUUGCUUCUCUUGAGAGCGGCGGACGGGUGAGUAAAGCCUAGGAAUCUGCCUGGUAGUGGGGGAUAACGUUCGGAAACGGACGCUAAUACCGCAUACGUCCUACGGGAGAAAGCAGGGGACCUUCGGGCCUUGCGCUAUCAGAUGAGCCUAGGUCGGAUUAGCUAGUUGGUGAGGUAAUGGCUCACCAAGGCGACGAUCCGUAACUGGUCUGAGAGGAUGAUCAGUCACACUGGAACUGAGACACGGUCCAGACUCCUACGGGAGGCAGCAGUGGGGAAUAUUGGACAAUGGGCGAAAGCCUGAUCCAGCCAUGCCGCGUGUGUGAAGAAGGUCUUCGGAUUGUAAAGCACUUUAAGUUGGGAGGAAGGGCAUUAACCUAAUACGUUAGUGUUUUGACGUUACCGACAGAAUAAGCACC